CAAACCCACUCCCUCACUUUCCAAUAUUCCAUUGUUCCUCUCCACACUCUUCAUUUUCGGAGACCAAAAAGAUCUUUCCGUCUAUACUUACUGUAAAUCACCAUGGACGCUUGUGUGCAAGUUUCAGUAAUUCGUUCAGCAAUCUAAAGAUCACCUGUUCAAAACAUUGCAACCUGAUCUGUUGGAAUGUGGAUUCUGUCGACUUCUGUCAAGCAACUCUGCAACAACAAGCAUGACCCGGUGCUCCUUCUCUGGCAUCCGCACUCAUUUUCCUGAAGAAUUCUUACAUCAUAUGGCUCGAGAAAUUGGCAUGUUCUCGAAGUGACUGAAACUUUGUGGUUGCUUCAGUUGUGAGUGAAAAUGCAAACCACGUUUCUCGGCCCUCCUGUACCAAUUUUAUAUGGAUCUAUCUAAAUACCAAAAAAUUUCUUUCCAGGAAUUUUCUUUGGCUUAUUAAGUGCCUGGUGCACUAGUUGUAGCAAAGAAGAACAAGGUAUACAUUCUACAGCACAAUACAACUAUUGAACGAUUUAGCUUUUAGGAAAGAAAGUCUAAUGGUCGAAACGGUUUAAGUUCUUUUUAUUUUGCAAAAACCACUUCAAGUAGUUUUAGCAAGAAGGGGAGUCCCACCAAAAGCAGUAGCAAGAACAAAUCUGAUAAGGAAAGAGCUGAAACUUCGUUAUGAUAAGCCCAGUUGAGGAGGUAAAGACUCUUCAAGAGAGCCCCUUCAGCUGAAGAGGUAAAGACUCUUCAAGAGAGCCCCUUGAGCUGAGGAGGUAAAGACUCUUCAAGAGAGCCCUUUGAGCAGAAGAAAAGCAAACAAGAUUGGAAAGACACACGUCUACCCUCAAUGCACCAAGCAAGCAAUGAUAUGAUGCCUUUUCCUUGCCUAAAUGUCUAAAUAAAAGGGAGGAAGGAAGGGGCUUAACUUGGAGGAAGAGAAUGAUGAUAGCCAAUGGUAGAAGAAGAGGUUGAGGCCAAGAUCUAAGGAUUUGGGCCUGUAAAAUCAUGUCCAGAUGAAAAUAUCAUGUGUUAGCAGUCAGAUAGAUGACGGUUUGAGUCUUUUUACUGGUGUCUACAGGUGUUGCUAGCUUUUAGCACUCCCUUGUGUUAAAUAUACAGUGGCCAAGGAGUUGAGAGAUGAUAUUGUAAAUUUCUUUGUUAUAUUAUACUUUCAGUAUGUUGCAAGUGUUAACUCGUAAAUCUCAUUGUAGACUGUAUCCUCAUUCUAUAAAUUGUAUAAAUUUCAGUGUUUCUAAGCUGAAGACAUGAAAUUCUUAUGUGCUCA